UGGGGAAUAUUGCACAAUGGGCGAAAGCCUGAUGCAGCAACGCCGCGUGAGUGAUGAAGGCCUUCGGGUUGUAAAGCUCUGUCUUUUGGGACGAUAAUGACGGCACCAAAGGAGGAAGCCACGGCUAACUACGUGCCAGCAGCCGCGGUAAUACGUAGGUGGCAAGCGUUGUCCGGAUUUACUGGGCGUAAAGGAUGCGUAGGCGGAUUUUUAAGUGAGAUGUGAAAACCCUAAGCUUAACUUGGGGACUGCAUUUCAUACUGGAAAUCUAGAGUGCGGGAGAGGAGAAUGGAAUUCCUAGUGUAGCGGUGAAAUGCGUAGAGAUUAGGAAGAACACCAGUGGCGAAGGCGAUUCUCUGGACCGUAACUGACGCUGAGGCAUGAAAGCGUGGGUAGCAAACAGGAUUAGAUACCCUGGUAGUCCACGCCGUAAACGAUGAGUACUAGGUGUAGGAGGUAUCGACCCCUUCUGUGCCGCAGUUAACACAAUAAGUACUCCGCCUGGGAAGUACGAUCGCAAGAUUAAAACUUAAAUGAAUUGAC
rnacentral:rRNA from 1 species